rnacentral:piRNA from 1 species
UGGGCAACAAAGGGAGACCCUGUCUCUCUA